CGAGCUCACUCGGUUGCAGGCGUUAGGCUCCCAGCGGCUCUCAGCCGUUAAGUGGAGAAUGUUCAGGACUGUCGAGGCGCGCUCCGCACCUGGCCUGAAAGCGGGAGAUUUGGCAACCAGUGCGCGUGGGUGCGCCGGCCCUUGCAGCUGGGGACUCUGGAGGCAGACCUUGCCCAAAGCCAGAGGCAGGAACUCCCCAGAUCCUCCCAGGGUAGCAUGGGAGGAUGCCGCCUCCUCCAGGAAGCUCUCUAGCGCUUUUCCGAGUCCUGGAGCCAGGCGGGACUUCUCUGUGGUCGCCUAGAAGGGUAUGAACUUAGGGCAUCCCCAUCUGGGCUGUGAAGGUUUCUGACUUGGGGACCAGGUGCUCAGACCUUCCUGGAUGCUGCUUUCCACAAUAUCUCUACCAGGCAGGCAGGUUCUCUUCAUUUUGCAAAUUUGGUGAAACAGCAUUUGUAAAACUUUAGAAGCUUCCUUGGCUCACACAGGUGGUAGUGGCCCUGUCAGGAUUUGACCCAGGCUCUCGGAUUCCAGAGUUCCUGAAUUUAACCACCUGUACUGUGAUGCCUCCUUAUCAUGUGUGCAUCGUGCAUUACUAUUUUUUAUAGCCUGUAGGGUACUGAGCACCAUGCACACCUACAGUGAUCACAGGCACUGCCUACUGGAAGGUCUUCUUUGGCUGGGUUCCAGUUUCCUCAGACGAUGUAGGGCAGGGAGUUCCACUUGUUAGCAUAUCCCACAGGGCCUUUCUCUUCAAAUGGACCCCAGCAGCCAACCACACAGCUGCCUCAGCAAGCGUAGGAGAUGGCACAUCAGAGACCAACAAUUGUC
rnacentral:lncRNA from 10 species